CCUACGGGGGGCAGCAGUGAGGAAUAUUGGUCAAUGGACGAGAGUCUGAACCAGCCAAGUAGCGUGAAGGAUGACUGCCCUAUGGGUUGUAAACUUCUUUUAUAUGGGAAUAAAACGUUCCACGUGUGGGAUUUUGUAUGUACCAUAUGAAUAAGGAUCGGCUAACUCCGUGCCAGCAGCCGCGGUAAUACGGAGGAUCCGAGCGUUAGCCGGAUUUAUUGGGUUUAAAGGGAGCGUAGGUGGAUUGUUAAGUCAGUUGUGAAAGUUUGCGGCUCAACCGUAAAAUUGCAGUUGAAACUGGCAGUCUUGAGUACAGUAGAGGUGGGCGGAAUUCGUGGUGUAGCGGUGAAAUGCUUAGAUAUCACGAAGAACUCCGAUUGCGAAGGCAGUUCACUGGACUGCAACUGACACUGAGGCUCGAAAGUGUGGGUAUCAAACAGGAUUAGAUACCCUUGUAGUC
rnacentral:rRNA from 1 species